UUUUUACGACCCACACACAAAACCCUAAUUGUAUCUCCUUCUCCUGUACGCUUCUUCCUUCUUUCACACUACUCUUCCAUAACCCUAAAAAAACAUAGUUGCAUCUCUCUCUCUCUCUCUCUCCCUCCUAUCGCUACGCCAAGAUCCUCCAUCAGCCGACAAUCAUCUUCUUCGAAUUCAUCCUCAUCGCUACAUCUUCUUCUUCAAUCCAUGGUUACAAGGUUUUCUUCAUCGACUAAAAUCAAGGAUUCAUCGACGGUCCAAUCGGGUGUUGCUAUAGAUCGAGUGUGGAGGCUGCUGACAUGUUCCAUGGUUAUGGUGGCUGAGAGGGUUUCAAUGUUUCAAUUCUGCAUUUUUAGUCUAUCGCAAAAAUAGGUUUUUUUUAGUCUUUGUUAUUAUGAUUAUGUCGUUUCAUAGCUAUUUGGUUAUCUUAUUAGUGUUUAUUUCGUCUUUUAAUAGGAUCGAGAAAGAAUUCGAAUCUUGAAUCAAAUCUAAUUGACUAUUUUUUUUAUUUAAGUUGUUUUUUAAAUAGAUUUGAAGAAUUGGAAUAAGAUCAGUGAGUAUUAGAGUGGUUUAUGUUAAAUUUGGGUGUUGGUGUAUCUUGAUUGAUCAUGAGGUGUAAUUAUAGGAUUGGUGAUGUUUGUGUUCGGUUUCGGUAGAACAAACGAGUUUUCCAAUGGCAUAGGUAUUUUCCGGUGACUCCUUAGUCCUGACCCGUCAUUCAGCAUUAACCCCAUAACUGGGAAAAGCCAUGGGUGAUGCAGCAGUUGCGGCGACAUCAUCAAUUGGCUACAUCGGUGUUGGUACUAUAGGGUUUCUUUUGGAUGAAAGAGGUGACUUUUACUUCAUGGAAAUGAACACUAGAAUUCAGGUAGAGCAUCCUGUGACAGAAAUUAUAACAUCGGUUGACUUGAUAGAAGAGCAGAUUCGGGUAGGUAUAGGAGGUAUUAUACAUUUAAAAUUAGCCUUUUGCAACUUCCAAUAUGUUUAACCCGUUUUACCCAUUUCAUUUUUAGAUCAUUUUAUUUUAUUUUAAAUUUUUACCCAUUUGAUCUAAAUGCUACAGAAUAGUUUAAUGUAAAGUUUAGAAAGUGCCAUCACUAUGUUAUUAAUUUAUCUUUGUUACAUUUCUUCUUUGCUACAUAGUUUUGGUUUUGAAUUAUUUAAUAGAUGACCUCUUGAUUCCUUCUGUUUAUGAACAUUAGGGAGAAUAACAUCUUACUUGCCUCUGGAAGUCCAUUUGUGAGAAUGGAUAGCCACGUAUAUACCGAUUAUGUUGUUCCACCAAGCUAUGAUUCACUACUUGGAAAGGUUUGUAAUAUUCUCUAGACUUCAUUAAAAUUUAUAAAUGUAUAAAAUCAAAUGGUAGUUUGCUUCCUGGCUGAAAUAUGCAACUAUACUUGAAAAAAAAAUUAAGAAAAUACUUUCAAGUUUAAAUGUUGGUAUUCGAAUUUCGAACGAUUGCGUAGCUGACCUUUUUUUUUAAUUUUUUCCUUUAAUCUGCAUAACUUUUUUUUUUCAUUUUCCAAAGAAAACAAAGGUUUAAAUGUUUAAUUUGAAACAACGAGAAAGGAGGUUCUGUCAGUUUGAUAUUUGAUUACAUUUUGGCUGAUUCAACCAUUUCCAGUUCAAUCAAAUUUUAAGGUUCUACUCAUUUGAUCCCGUUAGAGACGAAAUAUAGUCAAAAUUCCAAAUCGACCAGUUUUCUCAUAAAUGGGUCAAAAUUACCACCUCUAGGCUUUACAAUCCUUCAGAUAACUUAUUGAGUUGACAUUUUCUAAAGUUUAAAUCAAUAGUAUUACAUGUAAUCAAACCACUCAAAUAUGAGUUAAUUUCGUCUCUAACCCGUAACUUUUUUUAAUCAUGGUUUUAGCUUCUUGUAUAGGCCCCAACAUGAGAAAAGGUGAUUGAAUGCAUGAAAAGGGCUGUUGAUGAUACCAUGACUAAUGCCUUAUUUAUAGAUGUAGCAAUUACACUAAUCCCCCCUUACACUAUUACAAUAUACUAAUAUGUAUGUAAUUUCUAUCACAUCAUCACAGGUAAAAUAAAACCUUCAUUUCAUGUAUUAUAUUUCAACCAUGAUCCAUUUUCAGGUUUUGUAAAAAGAUAUCUGUUUUUAUAUUAUUUUGUAUGCCUCUCUCAAAUUACCUUUACUUGUGCAGGUUAGAGGUAACUUUUGGGUUAUCUGUUUUUGGCAACAAUUUUUGGUGGGUUUUUAGUUUUGGCAAUCAUGGGACGCGUGUAUUAGUUUUUUUUUUCUUUUUUAACUAGCCAUGUAUAUUCAAUUCAUGUGCUACCAUUUUUCACAUAAUACCAUCGGCCAUUCGAAGAUGAAACCAUAGUUACGAACAAAGUAGAAAGGGCGAACAGAAGGGUCAGAUGUAUCUCAGGUAUGAACAUGCUCACUUUAGAAACAUGUAAAAUGUAUUUAUAUUUGUCUCUUACGACGGUAAAAAAGACAAUGCUUAAAAGAAAAACAAAAGAUUGGGUUAGAUGGGCAGAGCCAAAUUGUUUGCGUUAAAGUGAGUAUGUUAUAUUUGCAUUAUUAUACCCGAAGCUAUCAUCUUGUGAUAAUCUGAACUUUAUAUUCAAAGUUAUAUGUCGAUAUGGGUUUAGAUUUAAUUUUAAAUGAAAUUCAAUAGGGCAAAUAGGCUGAAUAAAAAGAUAAGAAAAAUAUAUUGAAAGCUAUGUUCAUCUUUGUUAAAAGGUCUAUGUUUUCAUAAUAAUUAUAAUAUAUUCAUUUUGAAUCAAACUUGCAUGUUUUUUAUGAUAUUAACAAAUGUUAUGGUACUUUCAACUCAUUCCACAAAAUGUAUUGUUAUUAUUCAUCUAAAGUUUUCUUGCUGUUAGAAUAUGCAUAACAAAGCCAAAAACAAUAGUUUGUUUUGAUUUUAGCAAACUUGAAAGUCACAAUCUGGUAUAAGCACUUGCGUCAUCCACUCACGAAAGACAGGUAUGGUGAUUGUCUUCCCUUUUUGAGUUUUAUAAAUUAAGAUGUUUAUAAGUUUUUCAUCUACUUUUUUAUUUGUUUUUAUCUUUUAAUUUGAUGAAUAGAAAUGUUAUAAACCUACUAUUCACCGACUUAUAUGUAUGUAGUGGUUAGAAAUUUUAUAAACCUACUUUAUAGAAAGACCGGAAUUGGUGAAUUUUGUAAUGGGUUAUUGAAUGUUUAUUAUCUGACAGGUAUUGCUGAUGGUAAACCGACAACACAGAUAUCUAUUGUGGUUUACAAGGAGAUAUUUGGUAACUUAUGAUGUAAUUUUCACUUUUAGUUUGAUGUAUUUGAAGGUUUCCUUUAAGUUAUUUUGGUUUGAAAUAAUUUUUUUAUAAAUUGUAUCGACUACUUUAUUGUGUCUUAUAUUGAUUACUUUAUUAUGUUGAAGUUGGUAUUGUAAAUUGUAAAUAUGCCGUUGAACUUACCUUUGAAAGCUUAAAUUAUAUGGAUAUGGAUAACGCGAUCAACUGGAGCUUGGGAUAUAUCUUCUAUUUGGCUAAAAGAAAGCUUAAGAGAAGGUCGAUUUUGUGGAUGAAAUGCCUUACAUUUUAAAAGACGACAAAUAUGAGACAAAGUAAAAGACGGACUUAAAAGAGGGAACUCAAUUUACUAAGGGAAAGGUUUUGGUAACUCGAAGGAUAUGCAUCUUCAAAGGGACUCGACUAUCUUUAAAUUGUGUAUCCACUGUAUCACUAAUUUAUGUAACAUCAGACUUUGUAUUUUAUUUUAUUUGUACACUUGAUAUUUACGUUAAUAGUUUUCUCCAACCCGGGUAGCACCCGGGUGAUAACCUAGUACUA